rnacentral:sRNA from 1 species
GAAGAGAGUGGAAACUUCAGUUGGGGCUUGAUGAUGGGAACGUGGAUUAGUUUCCCCAGAGAACCUUUACUUCCGUUGUAUUUUAAGACCCACUGGAUGUAGCAUUAAUGGGAAACAGUCUUCUUUGGUCCCUGGGGGAAAUCCCGGGGUCACUUUGGAACUUCUUGGGUGAAGCACUACUGUACAUAUCAACGGGAUUCCAAACAAAUCACCAUGGUACCAUUUGACCAAAAGUCAGGAGGAAAAGGGGGAGAAGAUGAAUCAGUUACCCUCAAAUCCUGCACACGGCGGAAAACAGACUCCAUUGAGAAGAGGUUUUGCUUUGAUGUGGAAGCAGUAGACAGUGGAGACGGAAUUUCACUGUGUUGGCUAGGCUGGUCCUGAACUCCUGACCUCAAGUGAUCCACCCACCUUGGCCUCCCAAAGUGCUGGGAUUACAGGCAUGAGCCACCACGCCUGGCCUGAAUCUCCUCUUAAUGAACUGGAGGCCAGGGGUUAUCACCAUGCAAGCUUUGUCGGAAGAGGACCGGAGGCUCUGGAUGGAAGCCAUGGAUGGCCGGGAACCU